CCUUUGCAGCAGGGCCUGAGUCCUGCUCCCUUAUCACCCCGCCCGGUAUAACCGCGGGUGUCUCUUGGUCACCAUUGUAUCCCCUCCAGGGCAAUUCCCUUUUUGUCGGGGUCAAAUCAGAGCAAACCUCUGGGAGCUGCGUUCUUCGGAGGAGGGUGAAUUAUUAUGGGGGGUGUGUGUGUGUAUGUGUAUUUCACAGAUGAGGUUUGUGAAACCCUUCCCGUGCCCUGGGAGGCCAGCCUCUCCCCUGCUGUCCUGUUGAGGCCCCCACGCGGCUGUCUGCUCUUCCCGUGCCAGGCAGGAUGAAGCUGGGUGCCCUGCUCCCCUGGUGUGUAUCCACUCAGAAAGUACAUCUUUUCCCAGGCAAAUGGGGUCUACGAAAUUCCACAGACAUAGAGCGCGGACUUCGCACAGUUAAAAAACAAAUGCAUUCCAACAGACUACUUCCUCCUUGCAGCUCAUGCCGGUGCAGUUGGUUUCUUGUAUUAUCUGUGAUGUGUUGUAACAAAAAGCCUUCAUCUCUGAAAUGCCAAAGCUAAGUAAUGAAAAUAGAGAGAAGAGAAUCCGAUCAUGCCUGCCGGCCUUUGUCUUCAGCUCUUCUACUGUACAGUAGUACAUAAGGAGGCUUUUCAGCAGAGAAGCCUGAGGUGUUGAACCAGUGCCAUGGGGAAAUGAAUUCUUCAAUAGUUCUGUCGUCUUCCUUCUCAAAAUUAGAGCGUGGGGACUUGCAGAAAACCGGCCCAUCAGGGUGUCAGUGCCGCACAGAACAGCCGAGCCAGGUUCCGCACGCGCCCUGCGUGUCAUUAGCCACCACAUCAGCUGAGUUCUGACAGUAAGAGCUUUAUUCCUGACCGCGCUAUUACCAAGAAUGACUUCGCCCUUAAAGAAUUAUGUAGUUUGCCAAGCUGGUCUGUUUUAAAAUGCAUUUUCCCGGGGCGCCUGGGCGGCUC